rnacentral:rRNA from 1 species
UACAGAGGUCCCGAGCGUUUGUUCGGAUUCAUUGGGCGUAAAGGGUGCGUGGGCGGCUUUCUAAGUUUGAUGUGAAAUCCUGGGGCUCAACCCUGGAACUGCAUUGAAUACUGGGAGGCUAGAGUACUGGAGAGGAAACUGGAAUUUACGGUGUAGCAGUGAAAUGCGUAGAGAUCGUAAGGAAGACCAGUGGCGAAGGCGAGUUUCUGGACAGUUACUGACGCUGAGGCACGAAGGCCAGGGGAGCAAACGGG